ACAACAGUUGGAAACGACUGCUAAUACCGCAUAAGCCCACGGCUCGGCAUCGAGCAGAGGGAAAAGGAGCAAUCCGCUUUGAGAUGGCCUCGCGUCCGAUUAGCUAGUUGGUGAGGUAAUGGCCCACCAAGGCGACGAUCGGUAGCCGGACUGAGAGGUUGAACGGCCACAUUGGGACUGAGACACGGCCCAGACUCCUACGGGAGGCAGCAGUGGGGAAUAUUGCACAAUGGGGGAAACCCUGAUGCAGCGACGCCGCGUGGAGGAAGAAGGUCUUCGGAUUGUAAACUCCUGUUGUUGAGGAAGAUAAUGACGGUACUCAACAAGGAAGUGACGGCUAACUACGUGCCAGCAGCCGCGGUAAAACGUAGGUCACAAGCGUUGUCCGGAAUUACUGGGUGUAAAGGGAGCGCAGGCGGGAGAACAAGUUGGAAGUGAAAUCCAUGGGCUCAGCCCAUGAACUGCUUUCAAAACUGUUUUUCUUGAGUAGUGCAGAGGUAGGCGGAAUUCCCGGUGUAGCGGUGGAAUGCGUAGAUAUCGGGAGGAACACCAGUGGCGAAGGCGGCCUACUGGGCACCAACUGACGCUGAGGCUCGAAAGUGUGGGUAGCAAACAGGAUUAGAUACCCUGGUAGUCCACACCGUAAAC
rnacentral:rRNA from 1 species